rnacentral:rRNA from 1 species
UACGGGGGGGGGCAAGCGUUGUUCGGAAUUACUGGGCGUAAAGGGUGCGUAGGCGGCUUUUUAAGUCGGAUGUGAAAACUCUGGGCUCACCCAGAGCCUGCAUCCGAAACUGGAGAGCUUGGGUUCUGGAGGGGAAAGCGGAAUUCCUGGUGUAGCAGUGAAAUGCGUAGAUAUCAGGAGGAACACCGGUGGCGAAGGCGACUUUCUGGACAGAUACCGACGCUGAGGCACGAAAGCUAGGGGAGCAAACAGG